GUUCAGACUGCAGGCUGCAACUCGCCUGCAUGAAGUUGGAAUUGCUAGUAAUCGCGAAUCAGAAUGUCGCGGUGAAUACGUUCCCGGGCCUUGUACACACCGCCCGUCACACCAUGAGAGUCGAUAACACCCGAAGCCUGUGAGCUAACCGUAAGGAGGCAGCAGUCGAAGGUGGGGUUGAUGAUUGGGGUGAAGUCGUAACAAGGUACC
rnacentral:rRNA from 1 species